UUAACUCAUAUUUGUAUGGAACGGGAUCGUUUGCGUACGUUUGCCGCUAGGGGCGCUGUUCCAACUGCAUACAAAAUUGGGUUA
rnacentral:pre_miRNA from 1 species